UACGUAGGGUGCAAGCGUUGUCCGGAAUUAUUGGGCGUAAAGAGCUCGUAGGCGGUUUGUUGCGUCGGCUGUGAAAUCCCGAGGCUCAACCUCGGGUCUGCAGUCGAUACGAGCAAACUAGAGUGUUGCAGGGAGACUGGAAUUCCCGGUGUAGCGGUGAAAUGCGCAGAUAUCGGGAGGAACACCGGUGGCGAAGGCGGCGAGCUGGUCCAUUACUGACGCUGAGGCGCGACAGCGUGGGAGCAAACAGG
rnacentral:rRNA from 1 species